GACGAACGCUGGCGGCGUGCCUAAUACAUGCAAGUAGAACGCUGAAGAGAGGAGCUUGCUCUUCCUGGAUGAGUUGCGAACGGGUGAGUAACGCGUAGGUAACCUGCCUUGUAGCGGGGGAUAACUAUUGGAAACGAUAGCUAAUACCGCAUAACAAUGGAUGACACAUGUCAUUUAUUUGAAAGGGGCAAUUGCUCCACUACAAGAUGGACCUGCGUUGUAUUAGCUAGUAGGUGAGGUAAUGGCUCACCUAGGCGACGAUACAUAGCCGACCUGAGAGGGUGGUCGGCCCACCUGGGACUGGGACACGGCCCCGACUCCUACGGGAGGCAGCAGUAGGGAAUCUUCGGCAAUGGGGGCAACCCUGACCGGGCAACGCCGCGGGAGUGAAGAAGGGUUUCGGAUCGUAAAGCUCUGUUGUAAGUCAAGAACGGGUGUGAGAGUGGAAAGUUCACACUGUGACGGUAGCUUACCAGAAAGGGACGGCUAACUACGUG
rnacentral:rRNA from 1 species